rnacentral:lncRNA from 1 species
AAAGCAGUUUCCAAUAAACCAUUCAUUAUUCCGCUCUCUUUUUAUCUUUUCUACAAAAAGGGUCCUAUCAGACAACUGUCAAUCAGGUUCCUUUCUUUUCUGUCGAUCCAUCUCCAAAGUUUAUUGCUUAAUGAUCCUUUCAAUCAGGUAUGUUCUUUAAUCUUCUUCAUCGCAUUUCUAGCAAGGUUGUGAUCCAUAUUGUUUGCAGAUUUGUUUGUAUGCUGAAAGAAUAUGUGUUGAAAAAUUGUUUUUUCUGUUUAAUGUUUCGUAUUAUACCCCCAAUUACCAAUCUAUCAGUCUUCUCCGAGUUUCUCUUUUUUAUCAUUGUUGCUGAGUCUCCUUCGAUAAUAACUGAUUUAAACCCCAUUUGUUUUCCCACAAUCACUACUUGGAGGUACGCAAGUGCCUCUGCUGCAAAUAGAGAAGCCACCUCCCUAUGGAUCUUUGUUUUGAAGCCGAGUACCUUCCCCGAUGCAUUUCUGGUUACCACCCCUGAGACUGAUUUUGCCCAAGAGGCAUCAAAAGUGGCGUCAAAAUUAACUUUGUAGUAGAAAAUUCUAGUGGGCACCAACCCACAGCCUCAUGAUUCAUGGUAAAGUUCUGAAUUUCACACCCCUCCUGUUCCUUAAUAUAUUUGUUUAUCCAUGUAGCAACUUCUUGACCCAUACUGUUUUUCCUUCAUGUAAACCUUUGUUUCUAGCUGUUCAGAUCGCGCACAUAGAGCAGCAAAAAAUUCGACACUAAGUGUUGGAAUUGUUUUUGAACACCUAAGUAAGCCACUCGCAAUGUGACAAAAUUAUAUUUGUUAAAUACCCACUCCAGUUUCAAACUAAUCCAUACUUCUUGCGUCACAGGGCAUUCUCUGUUAAUUUAAAUUUUUUACAAUUUAGUUCUUAUUGCACAAAACACAAAAUAUGUAAAAUUUUCUUAUAGCCAUAUUAGAUCGAAUUUUAUCCAUGCUUAUAUAAGUCCAUAUGUUUUUUAUUUAUUUCACAUUUUAGUCCCUCAAAUUAUUAUUUUUUGUAAUUUAAUCUUAAUUACUUAAAAUCAUCAAAAGUUUCAAUACAAAACAUGUUAAUCUAAAAUAUAUUUUUCAUAUUUCAUCGUCAAACAACAAAAAUCACAAAGCUCUCAACAAUGGUACGACUCAAAAUAUUCAUCAAAAUAAAAAAUUUAAGCAUGGGUUUUGUAAUACUCGAAGUAACGAACUAAAAAACGUAAAAAUUAUCAAAAACUGACUAAGAACGAACCUUGAAUCAAGAUGAGAAAGAUGGUCGAACCUAGCUUUUGUUGCUUCUUUUCUUUUGUUUCUUAUUUCAGUGGAUGAACAUAAUAAUAUGAUAGCUUAUUUUAAUCUUAUGUUUUAUUAUAAACAUUUUAUUACAUAAUUUACCUUUUUAACCUUGUUUAAUAUCAUUCAUACUUCACCUUCCUAUACUUCACCUUCCUAUGGCCGAAUGUGUCCAUGCAAACAUCCAAGUGUAUAAUUGCAUUAUAAGCACCCUACAUUACAAAGACAACCACUAUUUGGCCCUUUUAUUAUUAAUCUUUAAAUUUUUAUUUUACGCGAUUAAGUCUUUUUAUUUAAUUGGACACCCAAACAAUAAAAUUAAAUUACUAAAAUUUCACAGAUAUAAAUUCAUAUAAAAUAAACACAGAAAAUAAUUUUUAAAUAUUUUUCUAACUUGGAUUCGUGGUUCUGAAACCACCAUUUUGAUUAGGGUCUAAAUCAAGUUGUUACAUCAGCGAACCUAAGGUUACGGACGACGGCCACCUAAAUUCUAUAAAUAGUCUCAGUUGUCACAUGUUAUAGACAAUAAUUGCUUAGUUGAGAAUUCUGCUUUUAAUUUCAGUUUAACUUUUCUUUCUUCUUAGGUUUUAGAUUUAUUUUCAAGUUGCUCUUUGUUAAUUUCAAUAGAUUUGGUUUGUGAAGACAAUCAAACUUAGGGAUUCAAUUCAUUCUUAAUACAAAUCAAACAUUUUCUUAGACUUUAUACUUUGCUUUAUUCUUCAUGUUCUAUCUUUAUAUCAUUUCUAUUGUUCUAUCUUUAUACCAUUUUUAUAUUGUUUUUGAAAAUCAUGAAGAACUAAUCUUUCUAUAGGGGAUUAACGAGUGGAGGUAUGAUUUGUUAACUAUUUUGUAGGGUUACUUAAUGGAUCAACUGUUUCUAUUAUAUUAUAGUGAUUCUGGUGUGUCACCAGGGGCGGAUGUAAAGCCUUUAGGCUUGGUACUUGGUGCCCAUGUGUGUUCCAGAGGGAUGUUAGCCUACAAGCUAGGCAGUUGAUGCCCAAGUAUGUUCUCGGUUGGUUUAGCUCGUUUAAGUGUUUUGGUGUGUUCUGGAUGGUUAACCAUGUAAACGAAUCUAUUAUAUCGUUCAUCGGGCAGAUUUUUAAUGGUUACAUGAUUUGUAAUUCAUCUUGUAAAUGGUUAUAUGCUUUUUUGAUUGAAUAACAUGAGUUUACAUUGAAUGAUAUAGUAUAAUUGAAUAAAUUAUUUAUUAUGUGUAUUGAUAUGAAGACUCACCUAUUGAAUGGUUGUGAUUGACAAGAUUAUAGUUUAUUAACUGUUACUUUGUGAUUUAUAUGUUUUUACGGUAAGUUUAUCAUUUUAACCCUUGAACUUACUAAGCUCUAGUAACGCUUACUCGUAUCUUUUCUUCUAGUUUUUGUAGAUUAAGGUUUGUGGAAAUGGACGAUCGAAUCAACUCAAAGAAUCAUUCUAUCCAGCUAUCUUUUGGUUGUUUUUUAUAUGUUUAUCUUUGGGUUAUAUGGCAUGUAAUAGGUGUGUUUUGUUAAUGUUUUGAAUAUUUACUACAUGUGUUACAUAUGAGAUUGAUCCAAAGAUGAUUAAGCUUAGUAUUAGCUUGCUUGUGUAUGUGCCUUUAAUCAUGUGUGAAUAUGGUCAUAUAAAAUUGUUUUGGUCAUUGGAUAUAAACGUUAUGUAAGUAUUUGAAUCAUGGUAUGAAUGAAUAAGAAUAAAUGGUAAGUUUAGCAUGAGUUUUAUAUAUGAACUUAUGAGCUUAUGAACUUGAAUGCUAAUUAUUUUUGUGUAACAUGUGAAUUGAGGUUGAUAAUUGAAUUGUAGUGGACACAUUGGUUGAAUGUUUUUUGCUAGUUAAUUGUGUUUUUAAAGUAUGAAAAUGGUUAAUUUUGAUUUGGCUUGGUACCUAAGUUUUGGAUGAAUUUUUUUUCUUAUUUUGGAAGCUUUUUAAGGUGCACAUAGCCAGUGUCUUUACACAGUCGUUUGCUAACAUGGCCUACUCACAUGGCCGUGUGCCUUAUUAAUUUUAGGUACAAGAUUUUUCACACGAUCAUAGUUAUACGGUUUGAGCUCACAAGCAUGUUGAGUAGCCACAUAGGCGUAUGGGGUAGCUACACAGCUAUGUCCCUGAGCUACGGCUUGGCCACACAGUCGUGUGACCCCUAUUUUGAUAAUUUUAAAAUUUUUCAUGUUUUUCUGUUUUAAUUCAAAUUAGUCCAUGAUUAUUCUCAAACUAUUUCUAGGGCCCUGUAAGCUCGUUUUAAGUUUCGUAAAUGUUAUUUUUCUAUAAAUGAAAUGUAGAGUCAAAUGUUUUUAUUUAAAUUAAUAAAUGAAUAGUUUAAUAAUGUAAAUUGUUUUGAUAUGUGUUGUAAUACUUUGUAACCCUAAUUCAGCAACAGAGACGAGUUAGGAGUUGUAACGCCCUUAGCCCGAAUCCAUCACCGGAAUAGAGUUACGGAGCAUUACUGAAGUUACUGAUUUAUUUAUCAGAUAUUUUAUUUCGUCUAACAUUAUUUAGAACCAAUUAAAAUCAACAUAUUGUCCCUUAAACGUUCUCAACAUGUUUUACUUGAAUUAACAUGUUUUACUUGAAUUUAUUACUCUUCUUAAUAUAUUUGAUUUCUUUGUAUCAACGAAUCAAAGAUAAUAACAUAUUUACAUGCUAUGAUAAAUAUUAUUUUCUUGCUAUUUUUUCAUAAACAUAAAUCAUGUAAUUCAUUAUAUCGAUAUUUCAUGCAUUUAAAAAUACAAUUUAAGUUACACUAACUUACCUCGUUGCUUGUUCAUGUUUAUAAUUUCAUUAAUCCGAUAUUUUUUCUUUUCUAUAUUCAAGUCUUGUAUUCAAGUCAUCCUGAUCUUUAUAAAUAAAUUUGAUCGUCAUUUUCAUUUAUUUCAUGUUCUAAUACAUUCAAUUAAUGCUCUAAACAAAAUUACUAUUUUACCCUUAAACUUUUAAUUAAUGAUGAUUUCAUCCUUGGGCUCAAAAAAAUAAAAUUCUUGUAAUUUAAUCUUUAUUUUCAGCUGUUAUUCUCAUAAAAAUUGAUAACAACUCAUGAAUUCUAUAAAAUAUCAGAAUUUUUUAAAAUUUCAAUACUUUUUAAUUUAAUCCUUAAAACAUGUUUUUCCCCGCUCUUAAAUUAAAUUAAUAAUUUCAUUCCAUUUUACAAUUUUAAAUAAUAAAAUAAUCCAUUUCAUGUAAAUUGAUCAUUUCUAAAUUUUUUACAAAAUUACCCAUAAAUUUUUACUUUUAUUUAAUUUAGUCUCUGAGCUCCUCCUCCUCCUCCUCCUCCUCUCCAUUCUACAUCCUUAAUUUAUAUAAUAAGCUACAAGUAACAUUAUCAAUAAUUCCACUAUUUACUGAUAUGUAUAUUCAAAACUAUUCAUUUGCAUCAUGGUCACUAAAUUAUUUAUAUCUUGAGCUACAGAACUCGAAAUUAAGAUCUGAUAAUUUUAAAUGAAACUAGACUUAUGUAUCUUCUUACCAUAAAAUUUUCAUAAUUUUUUGUUUAUCCAAUAAGUACAGUUUAUUCUUUAAAAUCACCCUUAUCCUAUUGUCUGACUGUUCCUACCCUUCUUUACUAAAAAUUAAUGAUCUCAUUGUACAGGAUUCGGAUGAUGUUCUUGUUUGUUUAUAUUGAAAAUAGAAUCAUUCAGGAUUUUAAACAUAUAAUUUUAAGAACCUAAUUAUUUUUAUCAAAUUUUUGAUGAUUUUCUAAAGUCAGAAUAGGGGAACUCAAAAUCAUUCUGACCUUUUCUCACAAAAUUUAUUAUAUCUCAUGAUUCACAAUUUCAUUGCUUACAUGGUUUCUUCUAUAAGAAACUAGACUUAAUAAGAUUUAAUUUAAUAUUUUAUUCAUUCUCUUAUUCGAUUUCUACAAUUUUUGGUGAUUUUUGAAAGUUAGACUGCUGCUGCUGCCCAAAACUGUUUUAGUGCAAAAUAUUAAUUAUUAAGUUUAUAACACUCUUAUUUCCUUUCUCUACAAUAUUUCCUACCACUUUCUCUUAUUUCUCUUCACUAAUAUAUCAAGAACAUAGAAUCAUAUAUAAGAAAACUCUACUUUAGCUUCAUUUCCAUUCUUUUUCAAUAAUAUCAAACUUAAAAAUACAUGGAAAUCUUGAUGUUCUUACCUUGUCUUAUUAUUUCCAAUCUUUUAACUCGAUUUUCUCUCUCCUUCAGCUUCUAUUUCUUGAAUCUAACUUGAUAUUCUAGCUUCCCAUAGUCUCCUUAUUAUUUUUCUCUCUUGGUAACCAUAAAAAUUCUUUCGAUUUCUAGGUGAAAAUGGUGAAUUUUUGGUGGAAAGACUAAAUUGUAAAUAAUAAAAAGUUUCUUUCUUCUCCUCUUCUUUCUAACGUGGGAUGCAUGGACAAUGAUGGAUGGUGUGUGUGUGUGUUUUUUUCCACACACACACAUAUAUAGACUAAAUAAAAUAAUAAAAUAUCUUAUUAAAAUAUUAAAUAAAUAAUAAUUAUCUAAUUAAAUAAUUAUAAAAUAUCACCAACAUCAUCAUUACUUUCUAAAUUUUUCUCUCUUCCAAUUGAUUGUUUUGCCCUUUGUGAUCUUUUAAAAUUUCAUUCUUGAGUCAUCACUUAAUUUGGUAAAAUUACAAUUUAGUCUCUCAUAAUUCUUCACCUAUUCAAUUUGGUCCUAAUUCAUCAAAUUUCCUUUGUUUCUAGAUCAUUCCACCCUUAAAAUAUUUGCACUAUUAGUCCUUCAACUUUUUCAUAUUUACACUUUAAUCCCUCAAAUUUUGAGUAUUUACUCUUAGACCUCAAAAUUUUUCUCACUUUUACAAUUUAGUCCUUUCUUGAAUUAAUAUGUCAUAAUAUACUUCCCAGUGACAUAACUCAAUUUUCCUCUUCUUGUCACUUUAUUUCCUUAUUUUACUAAUUAAGGAUAAUAUCUUACUGUAGAAAAUUUUAAGGUGUUACAGGGGUGUUGCAACUUCUAUCACAUAAACAUCCACAUUUGUUACCUUCUAAUUAAAUGUGCUCAUGGGUUGGGUCAGGCCAAGUUUGUGUCAAGUCUAAACAUGAUGUUAACAUAUUUUAUGCUUGCCCAAGCUCGGCCUGACCCGGCCCAAAAUCUAGGCCUAAAAUUUUGCCCAAAUCUGCCCAUAUUUGCAAAAGACUAACCUAAGACCAUUUUAGACUCACCCAUAUUAUUUAAAUUUUUAAAAAAUAUUUAUAUUAUAUUAUUUUAAUAUUUAAUAUUUAAUAUUUAAUAUUUAAUAAAAUUAUACAUUUUUUAUUUAUUGAAUUUUUUUAUAUAGUCAUCUUAAUAUUUUGUUAAUGUUUACAUUAGAAUAGUAUUAUAUAUUUAGUAUAGCUUUAUCUUUUUGAUGUGUUAUAAAUUACAUAAUAUAAAGUACUAUAAACUUAAAACGUGUCGGGCAGGGCCGGGCUCAAGCCAUGAAUGUUCAAGCCCGAGACCAACUUAUAUUUUAAACGGGCCUCAUUUUUUUUGUCCAAGUCUAUUUUUCGAGCCUAAUAUUUUUACCCAAACCUUCCCAAAUUUCGAGCGACCUUCGAGUCUAGGUGAAUAGCUCGACUCAUGAACAAUUCUACUUCUAAUGUAUCAACGAAAACCAACUGCUCAAAAAACUCUAUGCCCUGCCAACCACCAACAUGAGGAUGUUUAUUCCUUAUUACUUUAUGCUUGAUUACUUUCCCAAGCCUUACAAGCUCUCUCAUUAUUGAAAUAACCUUCCAUUUGUCAAUAAGCAUUUACCCAAUCCCCCAUAAGGAACCUGUUUGCAAUCCUACUGCCCAAAGAUUUUGCGGUAUACAAGCAUUGUUCCAUGUAAUCUAAACCACCCUGACUUCGGAUCACACACCUAACCCCAAUUAACUUUAGUAGUACUUAAAAAAAGAAAAUAAUUGCCAAAAAUAUACCCACGAUUUGGUCUGAAAUCAGUGAGUCGAAUAUUUUAUUAAAAUUUUCCAAUUUUUUAUUGUUUAAAUAAACAUUUGCUGUAAACUUUAGUAUAUUGGCACCACUAUCCCAACAAACAGUGUUUGUAAUGGCUUCAUGCACAAGGUUAGGGGUGAGUGUUCGAUCAGAUCGAAUUAAAUAAAAAAUUUCAAAUUGAUGAAUCAUAUUUUAUCAUUCUAACUCGAUUGAAAUUUUCUUGAAUCGAGUUGAGUGAGAUGAAAUUCGAAUCGAAUAUAUUUGUUCGAGUUAAAUUUUAAAAAAAUGACUCUAAGUCUUUGUAACCAUUGACACCUACCGUAAUUAAAUUUGUUAUUAAUUUUUAUCACCUCAUAAUUUAUUUAUUAAUCUUUUAUACAUGAGUUAUCUUUUUUACUUAAGCUUCCUUUGGAUCAUCAAUUAACACCAGUGUGAUGGAAUCUUAAGGAAUAAUACAUUUUUGCUGGAGUUUUUGCGUGUUUGGAACAUCAAUGGUGAGGCACGUUUGGAAAGCCUCACCUCACCGAAGCUCUAAUUUUCAACUAGAGCUUAAAGCUCCAAUGAAAAAACAGCAACCCCAGUCAACCUGAUUUUUUACAAUUUUAACCUUUUAUCUAAUGUAUGUUUGUACCGCUGAUUUUUUAAAAUAGUAAUUAUAUAUAUUACCAUUAUAAAAUUAAUAUUAAUUAAUUAAAAAUAAACAUUUUAAUAAACAUAUUUUAUUAAAUGAAUUUAUAAAUUUACGUAUUUUUUAUAAUUUUGUAAAAGUAAAAUAAUUUAAAAAUUCCACUGGUCUAUUUUUACCCAGUUAAAAUUUUAAAAGUCUUAUCAUUUUAUUUUUCAUAUUUGAGAACUAAAACUAGAUUUUAAGUGCCAACUAGAUUUUAAGUAUAUCUGUUAAUACAUACUUUAUCCGGGUAAAUUAUGCAUUUGAGUGAAAAUAAUAUUUAACAAUAAAAAUUAAAAAUAAUUAUCAUUUUAUCUAAUAAAUAGUUUAAAUUGAUUAUAUAAUUCAUUAAAAUAUUUAUAAUAAAAUAUUGGAAGAUACAUUUUAAUAUUUUAUUAAAUGAAUUUAUAAAUUCACAUAUUUUAAUAAUUUUUAAAAAGUAAAAUAAUUUUAAAAACUUUUAUUAUAUAUCAAUUCUAAUCUGAUGUCUUUAAUAGUCAUUUUUUAUUCUCACCUCACCGCUACAGCUGCGUUUGAAUCCAAACACACACCCCACCAUUAUUUCUAAUCUCACUGCUACAGUAUCUAAUCUCACCGCUACAGUAACUAAUCUUACCGCCACCGCUGCUUUUAACCUUACCGGAAGUAAACACACCACCCAUCCAAACUAAGCCUUAGUUGUUUCAAUUAUUUUCUAAUUCUUGCCACUAUAUAUUUUGAAAUUAAAAAAAUAUAUUAUAUGUAAAAAUGUGAUUUUUUUAAUAAAAAUUAUUUUAAAGAUAAAAUGUGAAAUUGAUACCAACAUAAAAAAUUUAUCACCAAUAUUUUAUGUCAUAUCAAUAAUUCAAUUUUAAUAGAAAUUUAUAUAGAUUCAAUAUGAUUAAACAAUUCAAGAAUAUAAAUAGUGCAAAAUGUGAAAUUUAAUUUAAUAAUAUAAAUAAUAGAUAUAAAUAAAUUAUUAUUAUUUAGGUUUAAGGAAAAAAAAUUAUAUGAUUUUAAUUUUUGAUUUGGGGAUAAAAGGUGAGAAGUAAAAGUUUAGUGGGAAAAUAAAAAGUUUUGGAGAGUUUCGGGGGGUAAAAUUUUGGAAAAAAGUAAAUGGGGAGUAAAAUUUGGGAGGUAAAAUAUUCAAAAAAAAAUUGAAGGGAAAUGGGUUUGGGGUAGAUGGGGGGUGAGAUAUGAACGGAGUAAAAGUGUUAAGGGAAAAGAAAAAAAGUUUGAGAGUUUAGGGUAAAAUUUUAAAAUAUUAUAAUUUAAUAUUCAGUUUAUUCAAAUUAUUCGAGUUAUUUAAAUUCUAAAACUUAAUUCGAUUCGAACUUGAAAUUCGAAAAAAAAUUUCGAGUUGACUCGAAUAACUCGAUUAAUUUAAAUCAAAAUUUAAUUUUUUUUCGAUUUUUUUAAAUCGAAUCGAGUUUUACUCACACCUACCCAAGUAAAAGCAUAAGGUAAAAAAAAAGGAAGGUCUUGGAUACAAACUCAUUACCACACACACCGUUUACAAGUAAAUUUUGAGAAAUAGAGAGUAACCACAAACCAGUUUGUAAACUUGUAAAACCUGAUAUCUCAACUCUUGCCCAUAAACGUUAUAUUAUCCUUAAACUACCUAAACAUUAAUUAAGUGAAAAGUAAUAAAAACAAAAAAAAAAUGUAAAAGGAAAGUGGUUGGACAGAAUAAGAUGGACUUCAUGAUUGAACAAGCAAUUCCUCCAGCGAAUUGCAGCUCGAAUGUAGCCUUCUAAUGGAUUCAUCAUCAGAAAAUUUCAGAAAAGUAAGAUGGAGACCUUUGAGAUUCGGCAGACAACAAUGGGUGGGAAUAGUCAGGACAAGACUUGGAAGGUUGAAUAAUCUCAAUGUGAGCAGUGUUUUACAAGUGAAAACCCAGAAUUCCAGGUCAGUGAAAUGUCUUGUUUCGAAGGUUCCACUUUGAAAGAUCAAUUCGAGUUCUCUAACGCCAUGCCUUACUGCGUACAGUAUCCAUUCAUUGAUCUUGGGAUGAUCAAUUCCGGGUCCAUAGCAGAGGCGAAAUCUGUCCACACUGAUAUCCUUACGCAAGGACAGAAAUCCAUCCACAAAUUCCAUGAAUCUAUUACGUAAAGCCCUCCUCUUCCUUAGAACUCCAUCGAGCUCAAUAUUGGAUAUGGAAGUAAAAAGAUCCUUCCAUCUGGUUGACAGAAGGCAUGUUCGAACUGCUUCUUUCAUCGGAAGCGAUGACAUGAUGUGCAAAAUAACAUUAUCCGGUAACUCACUGAGUCUGUCGGCUAGGUCUUCCUCGUCUAUUCUUCUGGCUUUUACGCCCCUAACAUAAAACAAAAAAACAGACGAAGAUGAGGUCAAUUGAGGUUACUUGUCGGCAAAGUAAAAAAGAAAAGCAGACAAAACAUAUCUGGUUAUCAGGUUUUCAGCAUUAGCGAAACCUUGUUUUCUUUUGAUGGCCAUGGGAUUGUUUCUGAUAAAAAAGAAAGAAGAAUUGAACCCAAAAAAACAAGAUUUGAGAAACCCUGAACUAGUUGUUUAGACGCAAGUUAGCCCAAGCUGGUGGGGGAAUUUAUUUACGUUCAGAGUUCCAGUUCUUGCGGGAUUAGGAAAACAAUCUAGAGGAAUUAAUUAAGGUCUCUUCGCCGCCUUCUUUUUUAUUUUUUUUAGAUUAAUUUAUUAAUGGUAAUUGCUUAUUUUCUGUUUAGGUUUAAAUAUUUCAAGGGUCCUUGUAUUUUUUCAAAAUUUAAAUUUAAUUCAUGUAUUUUAGUUUUGAGUCAUUGAAUUCCUGUAUUUUUUCUAUUUAACAACCUUACCCCUGAGCUAACUUCUUUCCAAUUUUGCUGUUACUGGUUGAUGAGGCCAUUUAUAGGAAAAGACAAAAUAACUUUUAUAGCCCGAUAUUUACAGUUUUUGUAAAUUUAAUCCUUACUAUUUAUAAAUACAUAAAAAUUUAAAAAUGUAUAAUUUUAAAAUAUUCAAAAUUAUGAAAAAAAUAAAAAUGCUUUAAAAUUUAUAGAAGAUAUAGAAUUUAAUUACCAAAAUAUUCUAUCAGCACUAAACAUGAACAAUUUUGCCUUUUUAUGUGAGAAAAAGUAUUUAAAAUCCAAAAUUAAAAAACAUAAAAGAAACUAAUGCAAAACCAUGUCUUUGCAUCAUCUCAUCUAUUUAGCUACACAACUAUGAUUGAUUUCUACACUGCUAAACCUAAUAAUUCUUUCAAUUUCGUUUAGUAAACACAGAGCAUCGAUUCUUGAUUGCCAAACCCAAUAUAUAUUAGUUAUCCAUAAAAGCUCAACAAUAUUCAUCCCUUCGAAAAGUAUACGAAAGUAUUUUGUCAAUGAGCAUGGGAUAUAAAAAUUUCAAAGCAAACACUACAAGCACAACAACUUGACAGAUAAAAAGAGAGGUUUCCUUCUUGUGGGUUUAGUAGGUAUGAGUGACCUGCUGCCAAUUAUAGUGGUAGUUUAAGUACAUUUCGGCAUUUAAAGAGCUUGUUUUCUAGGCAUUUUAUAAUUAAUUAUUAUAUUUUAAGUAUUAGUAGGUUAGGAACUAAAUAUCAAUAAAAAUAAGUGUUUCACGCAUUUUCUGCUAUUUCAAUGACCCGUAAGGUCAACUCGGGCUUUUUAAGUGACUAAUGGACCAUUUAAGUGUGUAAGAUGUCAAUUCACGUAAUACAAGGGAUGAUGAUCGGGCCGUGAGAAAAGGGAGCCCAAUAGAGUAACGAAUUUGCCAAGUCUGGGAAAGCAUUUGACGUCGUGACGAGGAGUGCCCUCUCAUCAUGAUGACAUGCUGAAGAUGGGAAGGAUUUCAUAGUGGGGACAUCGUGACGAGGAACCUUCCCACGUCAUGAUGACGCGUGAUGGUAGAGGUAUUUCCAUAUUUGGACCUUAACAUUUAUAAGAAUAUUGAAUUAAUUGGUAUCUAAUUGUAUCUAGGGUUGAGUGGUCACUAAGUAGCUCGUUGCCUAUAUAAGCAACCUUGGGGUCAUCGAAAUUGGUGUGCAAACUUAGAGACACAAUUUUUCCUAUUCAGUUUUCUUCGUAUUUUCUUUUCAUGUUUGCUUAGUCAGAACUUUUCUAUUCCGAUAUAAAGACAAUCGUGAGCAGAGAUUGCUACAGAUCUAUGCUUUAAUAUAUUUAUUCCUGAGCAGUCUCUUAUCUCUUCUCUUCUAUUCUUUUAUUUAUAUUUCAUUGAUUUGGACAAUUAAUCGUUAUAUGAAUAUUAGAAUAGGUUAUUAUGCUUUACUCAUAUCUCGCAUGAUUCAAUUAUUAAACUAGUUUAUCUGUUAAAUUAUUAUUUAUCUGAAAUUGAUUGUUUAUUCAAGAGUACUUACUAUGUUAGGAAAUGAUACCCUUAGUAGAAUAUCUAGACAAGUGAAACUGGAAAGGUAUCCUAUCGUAUAUAACUUGCGCCAAAUGGUGAGCCCAAGAGGGUAUCUCUAUGCCUAGAAAGUGACUAGAAGGGCGACUUAGGUGGUAAUCCUUAGCGUAGAUGAAACUAGAAAGAUAUUAUUAACUAAGGGUGAUAAAUAAUUCAAUCAAGGAUAAUUAAUUAUUAAAUUAGAUAAUUAGAGAUUUAAUUGAUCAUAGGCUAGAGACUCGCAUUGCGGACACUAGGGAUAGGAAAUUCCAUUAGGUUAAUUUAGGUUUAUUAAUUUAAUUAGUUUAACUAAAAUAUUAAUUUAGAUUCACACUACUAAUUUGUGACUCGAUUAGAUAAAUAAUUAUUUUCUAUAAUUAAUUGAAUAAUAGUUUCCCCAAUCUGUAAUCCAUUGGGUACGAUCCUUGAAACACUUACCAGUAUUCUGUUGCAACACAAAUCUAUACUACAAUUUGACCUGUAUGCUUGCGGACACUGCUGAUUUAAUAUUUUGUAUAUAUUUUUUGAGUGAUAUUUAUACUAUAAACGAUAACAUAUCUAUAAGCAGUUAAUAAGUCAUCCUUUCGAAUCACAAAUCCCAAUGAUGUAGGUAAUGGUUUUUAGAUUUUUAUUUUUUAAAGUUUACAUAAUUUUAAUUUUUCUUAAAAAUGUAUAAUUUCUUAUUUUUAGUAUUUUUAUUAAAAAAGUAUAAUUUUUUAUUUUUAGAAUUUUUUAGCUAUUUUUUGAGAUAAAAACCAUAAAUGUUGAGAGUUAUAAAAAUUAUUUUGCCUUUUUUUUUCUUCUAUAAUUACGGCAUUAGAGACUAAAGGUAAAAUGGAGGGAAAUUAGGUGAGGAGUAUGAUUUUUAAACUAAGAAAAAUAGAAAAACACAAUCUCUCAAAAUCAAAAUAUAAAAAACUAAAUUUUUGUUAUGAAAUAUUUAUGUAGAUGUCAUUAUCAACCCCAUAAGUUAUAAAACUCUUCCUAUACCCCAUAAGUUAUGAGACUUUUCCUAUACCCCAUUAAUAUGGGAGAUAAAAGGUCAUGAAGAUACACUCUCUCUUCUACAUUCUCUCUACACUCUUUCUUCUAUCACAUUUUAAUUUAUUCUUUCUUUAUUAUUUCACAACAAUUUUAAAAUUUAAAAUAGCGUAAAACUUUACUUACUAAAGCUUAUGGUAUUCCUUAUUAAAUAAUUCAUAUUUAACAUUCAAUUAAUUAUUUAUAAAAAGAAUAAAAAGGGUUUAUCCAAUACAUUUUAAACCCCUUAGCAUUGAAAGUAUUUACGUUUAAAUGUUAAAUAAAUGCUCCGCUUCCUAAUUCCGAGGUUCAUAUGGUCUCUUCGCUGCAUUCUUUUUUUAUUUAUUUAUUUAUAAUUUUCAUUAAUUAUUAUUAAAUUUUAAAAUAUAAUAUAUUUAUAUUAUUAUAAAUAUAAUUUAUGCUUUAAUUUUGAGGAAGAAAAUUUUAAAAAAUGAAACUGUUAUAUAAUUAAUGAUUCAGAAUUUUAAUAUAUUUUAAAUCUAUACCACAUAUCAUAUAGUUUUUUUUUUACUCAUGAAUAGUUAAAUAUCAUUAAAUCAUUUUGUAAGCUUGUUAUAAUUUUUAUAGAUGUAAAAAAUAAUUUAAAGUAUAUUAUUUUAUAAAAAUAUUAAAAUUAAUGAGUCAAAAUAUUAUGAAAUUUGCAAAAUAAAUGCUUAAAUAUAAUAUAAAAGGAUACAAUUUUUUUUAUAAAUAAAUACUAGAAUAAGUGAUAUAAUACCAUUCAAUAUUUUUUUUAUUCAAUUUUUUUUUAUAAAUUUUAAAACUUCUUUAAUAAAAAUUUUAAACAUCAUCAUAUUUUAUAUUUUUGAACUAUAAAAUCUUUGAAAAUCUAAUAUUUCUUUAUGAUAUUUUUUAAACACUAGUGAAUUUUUUAAUUAACUAAUUAAAUAAUAUUUAUUUUCUAAAAUUUUCUUUAUACGUAAUAUAUUCUCUUUCCUUAUUCAACUUUUAAUGGUAUUUGAAAUUUUUAAAAUUUUGUAUAAUUUAAUGAUAUAUCUAUAAUUUGAUUUUGUUAAAAAAAUAAUGGAUGAUUAAAAAUUAAAAAUAUAAAUAUAAAAAAUAAGAGUAAAUUUAUUGUAUGCUCUUGUCGUAAAUUUAUUGUAUGCAUCUUGUUAUAUUAAAUAUGUAACACUCCUUACCCGUCUCGAUCGCCGGACCCAAGUAAUAAGACGCUAUGACAUAAUUCAACAAUUCAAUAAAUACCUUAAUAAAAAUUAAAUCAUUUCUUAAUAAAUUAUGGAUAUAAAGAAAUAUAUUAAAUAAUUAGAAUUCUACAAGGACCAACCAAAUUACAAAAUACAAGCAUAUGCUAAGAUUGGAUUGUAAAAUUUUGAAGUUAAAAGUCAACAAUAGAAAUUCACAGAUGGUAUCGAUACCAAAUCAAUACAUUCUGAAAAUCGAUACCAAAAUUCAAUUCUAUUUACUUGAAAAUCACUGGCAUCGAUAUUUAUUUUAUGGAAUCAAUAUUUUGUGAAAAAUAUCGAUACUUAAAUAAAAAUCGAUACUAUUUUAGCAUUCUAUUUGUUUUAAAAUUGUUCAUAAGGUCAAGUAUAGAUACCAUAUGCAAAAGUAUCGACACUUGAGUUUAGAAAUGGUAAAAACUUAUAUUUAAAAGUUUCACUUAUGCUCAAAAUUUACCUAAGCAUAAUAAAGGCAUGUAACUCAACAUCCAAGCAUUCCAUUCAUGUACAACUCAAUUCAAUACAUCAAUAUCUAAGCCAAAUACAUAUGCUUAAGUUCAACCCACCUAAACAAUCAACCAUUAAGGUACUUCAACAUGAAUAACUAAGCUUCCAAUUUCAUUUGUAAACAUACACCAUGGCAUUAUCAUCUAUUGCAAGUUCAAAUCAUCUAUCAUCCAUCAUUCUCAUAACUAUGCAUUAACCAAAAGCUCACCUAGCAUAUUAACUUUUCAAUUAUUUGAUCAAUAUGCACAUAAUUAAACUACUUAACAAGACAUAUUCAAUAUGGCCAAUCUUACCAACAACACACAUACAAAUAUAUAAUAUUUAUAACAUAGAAACCCAUACACCAAUAAGAUACGAAAUGACCAUUAAAAUAAAAAAACUAACUUUAUAACUUAAAAGACUUCCUAGGCACAUGCCAAAAUUAAAAUCAGAACAUCACCAACACUUGAGUUUGGGAUGGUCGUUGGAUGCUGAGUAGACUAUCAAACCGAUGAGUACCUAAUCUACGCACGGAAAAUAAAAUCGUACACUGAGUAUAACUCAGCGAUAUUUCUAUAAUCCGAAUAUAAAUGUAAAAUACAAUACAAUUAUAUGCUCAAGUUAAAAUAAGUGAUGUUAUGCAAUUUUAUCUCAAUCAUAGUUCAAUUCAUUUCAUACUUAAUUAAACAUCAUUCUUUAAAUACAUAUCCAUUCAAUACUUUAGUUCCCAAUUCACAUUUCAUUCUAUCACAUUUGCUAUUCAAUAACAUUGCCAUUUUCAAAUCAUUACCAUCUCAAGUCAUUAUCUCGAGUUUAUCAUUUACUUUCCCUAUUAACGUAACUCGGACUCAGACAUGUGAAUUCCAACUAUCUCAUUUUCAUAUCAAAUCCAAUAUCCCAUACAAUAUACAAUAUUUUAUUUUACAACCAUACAAUUUAAUACCUUGUCACUAAUAAUCAUUCAAUCAUCUCAUUCAAUUAAAAUUCACAUAUCAUGAAAUAGUUUCAAAGGAAUAACUCACCUUAUAUAUAUAUACUUACCAAUGACCUAGAUGCGAGUAAAGAAAAAUGAUUCGUAUCUCAACAGUCAGAUGUGCACACCCAAUAUCUAGAUGCAAACGUGGAAAGGCAAUUGUCAUACAUUACGGCCCCAUGGAGUGUCUAGCAAGCCGCGUCUAAAAUAGACGUAAGGCCUGGCACUUUAUAACGCCCUUUAGGCCCACUAAAGGAGGGAAUGGAUCGUUAGGAUUUGGGAACUGCUAGCCCAAGUGACCGAUAGAAUCUGGAUCUUUGACCCGAUGAACUUGACCUGGAAGGAGAAUGUUCGCCUACAGGCAUAGUUAGCUAAUGACCUUGUGUGAAUGUUAGAUGUUAGCAAAGUUAGCUUGCGGGAAGCCAUCAAGGGGAGCUCCCGUAAGCCUCGUAGGAAUAAGGUCGCGAGAGGAGAGCUCGCGUAAACCUCACAAGGACAAGGUCACGAGCUAUGUUCGUGGAAGGGAUCAUAAGCCCUGCAAGGGAUCCUCACUCAUGACUGGCAAGUGCGAGGUUCGCUGGGGGAGUCAGUCUUUGGAUCAAAAAAGACCGCGUGCUCUGUAGGCACAUGUCCAAUAAGCCAAGGGAUGCCUAGAGAAUGUCAGCACUAGGGACAGAGAAUGUCAGUACCAUCGGCCCAAAGGCCGAGACAAAAUAAUGGACUCUAUUGUGAGCUGUAAUAGUAGCAGUAGGAACAUGUAUAAAUAUCCCCAUAUUUCCCUUAAUACGAUAUGAGAAAACAUUACUCAUCAUAUACAUUAUCGGUGGAGUUUUUAGAUUAAACAACAAGAGUUUUUAGAGUGAGGUGGGAUUGAUAUUAAAAAAUAAAUAUUUAAAAAAGAGGUAUGUCUAAUUCUUAAAAUUGCUUGUAAAAGAAAAUACAUACCAAUGUACCAAAUAUUCACCUUUAUAUAAGACUUGAUAUAUAUAGUUUAUAUUAAUAGAGAAUAAAAUGUAAUAAUUAAAUUAUUAAAAUAUUAAUCAGCAAACAAAGAUAAAAGCAAUCCAUGGAUAAAUUCAAAUCGUAAUAUAGAAAAAAGUUUUGUUUACAAUUAAUUCAAAUAUAUACCAUAAUUAUUGUUUAUCAAUUUUAAUUUGUUUAUAAACUAGAAUGGUUUCCUACUUCGUGCAUCAGAAUUUAAUUUUUCCAUAAUGUUUUUUUUGAGCCUCCAAUUUUAAAAAUAAAAAUUUAUUCUAGUUAUCAAUUUAAUUUUUGAAUGUUUUUUUUAAAUUAUUCUAAAAUGGAUGAAAAAAUUAACUUUGAUUAAUUAUGCUGAUGUGGCAUACACAUGAAUUAUCAUGUGAAUGACAUACUAACAUUUAAUUACUUUUUUAAAAAAUUUAAAAUGUUAAAAAUAUUUUUUUAUAAUUUUAUAUUUUAAAUAAUUUUAAUGAUUUUUAAUUUUUAAAAAUAUUUUUUUGAAUUUUUAAAAUUUUAAAAAAUUAAUUAAAUACUAAUGUGUCAUUCACGUGGCAAUCGACGUGUAUGUCACGUUAGCAAAGUUAAAAACAUUAAUCUUUCCCCUCAUUUUAAGGUGAUUUGACAAAAAAAAAAUCAAAAGUUUAAGAGGUAAAAUAGGUAAAAAUUAAAUGGAAGGCUAAAAUUUUUUUUUUAUAAAAUUAAAAUACUAAAUAAAUCAUUAUGUGUUUAAUUUUAAUGUUGCUUUAAGGGCUUUCUUAAUAUACUAACUAAAAUUUAUAAUUUAAUUGAUUAUAUGAGUUAUUAAAAAGAACCUUUAAUGUUGUAUAAAAUAUUAUUUUUAUAUUAAAAAUAAUCUGAAAUGUACGUCUAACUUUAAAGAAAAUACUUUGCAAAAUUGAUAGAGAAUUUAAGAACAGUAAUGAAAUUUACAAAAAUUGAGCUUGGAAACUGGAAACUAAAAUAAGGAAACAAGUGACCAUACUAGAGGGUGCAGAACGGUAAUAAUUUGGGUCAGUCAAAGGAUUCCUUAAAAUUGGAAUCAGUGGCUUCUAUCAAAUGUUGAACCCAAAAGCUUUCACAAGGUAAAUCCAAACCCUAUGUUUUUCUUUUUUCUUUUCCUUCCAACAUUUAGUGGUAAAAGUAUAAUAUACACUCUUACACGAUAAAUUUUAUUUUUAAAAUUAAUUCAUACACAUCAAAAUCAAAAUAAAAUACAUCUAACAUGUAUAUCUCAUAUCGAAAUCUACUCCAUCAUAAUUAACUAUAAAUAUAAAAUAAAAUCAAAAUAAAAUACACGUUACAUGCGUUUCUCGAACCGAAAUCUGCCUCUUCAUAAUCAGUUAUAGAUGUAUGAUGAUUUGGAUUGAUGGGUCAAAGCAUUUUCCUUUUCACACCUAAGCAUUAAAAAACAAAUCCUUCUCAAUUUUCAUCUUUGGCUGCUUCCUCCUACUAGUUCCUAUAUAACAAGAAGCUUACGCUUAAAUCCUUCCACAAGCCAUCUCCUUUCAGGCUUCAGCUUUCCCCACCUUCCCUCUUAUCGUUUCUCCAGACUCUGAUCUCAUCUUAAAUCCAAGCUAGCAAACCCAGCCUCCAAUUUAUAUCUUUAAACUCAGGUCACCUUUGCGUGAUGCUCAACCCCAGCCUCCGCUUUGGUUGUGGUCCAUAUUGUUUGCAGAUUUGUUUGUAUGCUGAAAGAAUAUGUGUUGAAAAAUUGUUUUUUCUGUUGAAUGUUUCGCAUUAUACCCCAAAUCACCAAUCUAACAGUCUUCUCUGAGUUGCUCUUUUUUGUCAUUUUUGCUGAGUCUCUUUCGAUAAUAACUGAUGUAAACCCCACUUGUUUUCCCAUAAUCACUACUUGGAGGCACACAAGUGCCUCUGUUGGAAAUAGAGAAGCCACCUCCCUAUGGAUCUUUGUUUUGAAGCCGAGUACCUUCCCCGAUGCAUUUCUGGC